UCCGGUUUGUCACCGGCAGUAUCCCAUGAGUCCCCGACAUAACUCGCUGGCAACAUAGGACAGGGGUUGCGCUCGUUGCGGGACCUAACCCAAUAUCUCACGACACGAGCUGACGACAGCCAUGCAGCACCUAACUGCAGGUUCUCCGAAGAGCACCCCGAUUUUUCAACCAGAUUCCUGCACUUUCUAGCCCAGGUAAGGUUCUGCGCGUUGCGUCGAAUUGAACCACAUGCUCCACCGCUUGUGCGGGCCCCCGUCAAUUCCUUUGAGUUUUAGCCUUGCGGCCGUACUCCCCAGGCGGGGUGCUUAAUGCGUUAGCUGCGGCACCGCAGGGGUCAAAGCCCGCGACACCUAGCACCCAUCGUUUACGGCGUGGACUAC
rnacentral:misc_RNA from 1 species